UACGAAGGGGGCUAGCGUUGUUCGGAUUUACUGGGCGUAAAGCGCACGUAGGCGGUUUGUUAAGUCAGGGGUGAAAUCCCAGAGCUCAACUCUGGAACUGCCUUUUGAUACUGGCAAGCUCGAGUCCGGAAGAGGUAAGUGGAACUCCUAGUGUAGAGGUGGAAUUCGUAGAUAUUAGGAAGAACACCAGUGGCGAAGGCGGCUUACUGGUCCGGAACUGACGCUGAGGUGCGAAAGCGUGGGGAGCAAACAGG
rnacentral:rRNA from 1 species